rnacentral:rRNA from 1 species
CACGUAGGGUGCAAGCGUUGUCCGGAAUCAUUGGGCGUAAAGAGCUCGUAGGCGGCUUAGUAAGUCGGGUGUGAAAACUUUGGGCUCAACCCAAAGCCUGCACUCGAUACUGCUGUGACUUGAGUCCGGUAGGGGAGUGGGGAAUUCCUGGUGUAGCGGUGGAAUGCGCAGAUAUCAGGAGGAACACCGGUGGCGAAGGCGCCACUCUGGGCCGGUACUGACGCUGAGGAGCGAAAGCGUGGGGAGCGAACGGG